rnacentral:lncRNA from 1 species
UAAGACUCCUAGAUUCUAAAAAAAAGAUCCGUCAUUUCCAUUAGCUCUAAGAAGACCCCUCCCCCAAAACUCCAUCUCGGUGAAGACAUGAACACAUAAAUUGGACCCUCUCCCCCCAUUUCUACAAAAGGCGCAUCACCCCUGUAUUUUGGUCUUCUUCUCCGUCUUCAUUUCUUAAAAACACACACACAAAAAAUUUAAAAAUAUUUCGAAAUUCGGCGAUGGAAAUUGAAUCCCCAAAUCUGAAAUACGAUAGCUUCCAAAUAAAAGAAAGAAAAAAAGGAUAGAACAAUCUCUGAGUUGUGUGAAGGUGCUAUAUUUUUCUUUUCUAUUUCUGGGUUUCUUCUUCAGAAGUUUGUUCUUGUGUCAGAAAUUCUGCUCUUUCUCGACUGAAGUUGCUUGCUGAGUUCAAUCUUUAGUCUUACCUAGCAGAUUCUUUUUCCUUUCAAGAAUUCUUUUUUCCGGUAGUUCUCUCUCCCCACCAGGUAAUAAAUGUCUUAAACCUUUUUAUACAAGUAAGAACAUUGUAAAUUUGUUUCUAUUAUGGCCAUGUUUAACCUCAUGAACUUGACUGUGUUAAUUAUCAAAUAUGCUCAUGUUUAUGUUGUUUGGCUAUUUCAGUGUUAUUUCGAGCAAAAUCAUACUAUACUUGUUACGAUCUUUGAGGUCCUAAGCAGGUUCUUUCAUUUCUAUCUGGGCUUCCUUUGAAACCCUAACUUUGUUAAAAUCUCUUAAGAUCUGUAUUAUUUUUGGUAAUUUAAAUCCGUUUCUUUCU